GUUUCUAGUGAAGGUGUGCGGAGUUUAAAAACACAGUGGAACAGAGAAGGUGAGAAGCAUGGCCCCUGGCGCAAGGAUGACACCCACAAUUGUGAAACGUUCCUUAUUUUU